rnacentral:rRNA from 1 species
GUCGAACGAUGAUGCCCAGCUUGCUGGGUGGAUUAGUGGCGAACGGGUGAGUAACACGUGAGUAACCUGCCCCUGACUCUGGGAUAAGCGUUGGAAACGACGUCUAAUACUGGAUAUGAUCACUGGCCGCAUGGUCUGGUGGUGGAAAGAUUUUUUGGUUGGGGAUGGACUCGCGGCCUAUCAGCUUGUUGGUGAGGUAAUGGCUCACCAAGGCGACGACGGGUAGCCGGCCUGAGAGGGUGACCGGCCACACUGGGACUGAGACACGGCCCAGACUCCUACGGGAGGCAGCAGUGGGGAAUAUUGCACAAUGGGCGAAAGCCUGAUGCAGCAACGCCGCGUGAGGGAUGACGGCCUUCGGGUUGUAAACCUCUUUUAGUAGGGAAGAAGCGAAAGUGACGGUACCUGCAGAAAAAGCACCGGCUAACUACGUGCCAGCAGCCGCGGUAAUACGUAGGGUGCAAGCGUUGUCCGGAAUUAUUGGGCGUAAAGAGCUCGUAGGCGGUUUGUCGCGUCUGCUGUGAAAUCCCGAGGCUCAACCUCGGGCUUGCAGUGGGUACGGGCAGACUAGAGUGCGGUAGGGGAGAUUGGAAUUCCUGGUGUAGCGGUGGAAUGCGCAGAUAUCAGGAGGAACACCGAUGGCGAAGGCAGAUCUCUGGGCCGUAACUGACGCUGAGGAGCGAAAGCAUGGGGAGCGAACAGGAUUAGAUACCCUGGUAGUCCAUGCCGUAAACGUUGGGCGCUAGAUGUAGGGACCUUUCCACGGUUUCUGUGUCGUAGCUAACGCAUUAAGCGCCCCGCCUGGGGAGUACGGCCGCAAGGCUAAAACUCAAAGGAAUUGACGGGGGCCCGCACAAGCGGCGGAGCAUGCGGAUUAAUUCGAUGCAACGCGAAGAACCUUACCAAGGCUUGACAUACACCGGAAACGGCCAGAGAUGGUCGCCCCCUUGUGGUCGGUGUACAGGUGGUGCAUGGUUGUCGUCAGCUCGUGUCGUGAGAUGUUGGGUUAAGUCCCGCAACGAGCGCAACCCUCGUUCUAUGUUGCCAGCGGGUUAUGCCGGG